UCGGCGAGGCUCAAAGAAAAAGAAGUCCGCGGCCGGAGGGAGGCACGUGCGGCGGCCAGUAAAAAUGUCUGUUCGCGGGUGAAUCUGAGCGAGGGAACGAGGUGAACGCCGUUUCGCCGGAACCGCUGGGAAACACGGUGUGUCCCGGAUUACCUGGCCAAGUAGCACGUGCACUCACGAGCGAGCGAGCGCCGUGGAGGCAAUAACCGACGAGAGGAGGACACACAGAACACGUCGUCGUCGUCGUCGUCGUCGUCGUUUGCUGCUAACCUGGCGACGAUUCCGCCUCGUUGCCCGAUAACGAUACCCGACCGGGCCUCCUCGGCUCGAUAAAACGCCGUUUCCGACAUUCACAGAAGCCGCACUCGACCCUCGACCGGCAUCCACACGCGGCGUUCCGUCGGCCUUAUUUAGGAGAUCCACCGCGGCGUUGAUAAUCGAGCACAUUUCAGACGGACGCCUCGGAUAUCGUAAUACGCUGCUGCUUCUCUCUUGUAUCUGCAGAAUUUAAUCUCGAAACGUGAUCGCCGUUGAAUCUGUCAGCGCUUACGAUGAGUUAGUAUUGUGCGCUAUGAAAGGUUUCAAGGCUCGAUUCGGACGAGAUGUUGACGAGCGGAGAAAGACAGAUUUGUUUGCGAUUUGUUCCUCGGGAAUAAAGACAACUGCUUCGAUCUUGCCAUUGAAGGCUGAUCCUGCGAGCAUUUUCAGUUUAAAUGACAACUGCGAUUGUUGGCGAGAUAGAGAAAUUUUUGUUGGUAAUAUUAGGCUACGAAAAAGGUUUCACAUUGUUGGUCCAAUUAAGAAGCAUUCAAAGGAAGACGAUGUUUCUGCAAGCAUUCGAUUAUUUUUAAAAAUCUACCUGGUACUCUAACGGAAUGUCUGAAUAUAAACAAAAAUAUUGUUCACGUUCUUACAUUUUUUAAACCCGAGAGAUUUAUAUAAUAAAAUAUAAAUAUAAUAUAAAAUAUAAAAACCGAGCGGCGAAGAUAUCUGAAGAAUUGAACAAAAUUGCUACAUCAUUUCCAACUUCAUCGAGCUAAUUAAAAGAAGAAAUAGAUUUUUAUUUAACCACUGUUUCUUAGAAUUGACGUAGCAUAUUCUUAUUAUGCAUAAAUAUCCGCAGUAUACUGAUGAUCUAGCUGUUGAUGCGAUCUUGAUAAAUAAAUAACAUAAAGGAAAAACAAUUAUUUUUUAAAGAAAUCGUGGCACGAAGUUGUACAAGUUAAGCUGCUCAUAAUACAACAACGUCCUAAUGUUGUUAGACGGUUUUACUUAUAAUUGUGCUGUCGGUAACAAAGUUCGAACGAAAAUCGCCGGGAACUAGGUUCGCGUGACGAGUUGACGGAUCGUGAUCGGUUUCACUUAACUUCAAGAUUUAUGUUCGAUACGAUGUUACAAACUUAGCCAAUACAUACAUACUAUGAUCAGUAGGUAGCAACGUUUUGACAGAACGAUAGUGACUUAAAAGAAAGUUUGUUAUGACAUGCACCAGUUCUGUCUCCGUGUUCCCAAUUCGGAGCCACGACAGCUCUAUAAACGGUGCCGUUUAUGCUUUGAAAUCGCGCGAUGUCUGCCGGUAGUCACGCGAUGCUCGAGGAAGGUUUCUUCUUAGCCUCGCGGAAGACAUGAAUAUGCGAUCGAAUAAGAGCUUCGCGAAAUUCUCUUACGAUAAUUAGAUAUGCGACUUUUAGAAAAAUGCACGAUAACGGGGAAACAGAA